UUGACCUCGGAUCAGGUAGGGAUACCCGCUGAACUUAAGCAUAUCAAUAAGCGGAGGAAAAGAAACCAACAGGGAUUACCUCAGUAACGGCNAGUGAAGCGGC
rnacentral:rRNA from 1 species